UGCGCGUCAGUCACCUGGGAAUUUAGCUAUAGAUGUGUGAGACUUGGACCUUCCAAUUAAACUGCAAGAGAUUCUGGAUAUAUUGCAUUAUGGUUGUGGCAACCUGGAGUCUUCAAUCUUCCUUGGAAAAUAUUAACAAUAAUAGAAUUGUUGCAUUACGAUCACACUCCGAUGGUUCAGUCUCCUUGCAAGUUUUGAGACGUUCCGACAUAGCUCAGAUUUUAGCGCCUGGGAUAAAAAUGAGCUUUUUACCAUACGGGUGGAAGGGAAAAAAGAAUUAACAUUACCGUAUGGGUGGAAGGAAAGAAAAGAACUAACAAAAAGGGGUGCGAAAAGGGGUUAGCUUGAGAAAUAUUAUCAUUGGGGCAAGUGAAAAAAAAAAAAAAAA
rnacentral:misc_RNA from 1 species